ACUUAUCGAGGCGGAUAAAAGCUCGAAGGAUAGUACUAAAGCCACUUCAAAGCACACAGCCUAAAACAGAGCCUCAUAACCCUUUCAGGAAAGUUACGUCAGACUUAAUCAGGGGUCUCAGAUGCCCUUGCUUGAUGACCAUCACAGCUGUGCAUGUUCAGGGCAGCUGUGGCUCUGGCAGGAUUCAAUCCCAUGGUCCAGUGCUUCCGCUUGAUCUACAUCCCCUCUAGUGUCACAGUGACACCUGCUGGCGAGAGGAGGCGAUUUCCCCAGGAAGACGUGAAGAACUUGGCAACAGAGAGAAGAGUGAGUAAUACUCCCUGGCUCCUAUAUGCUUUUUGCUGUGUGGCAUUGUGUAGGGGAUGAUUUUCUUUCAUGUACGCUGAUAGUAUCUGUAUUAUUCCCACUGAUGUAGAAUUUAUUUUUUCUCCCCGACGACAGUUUUUUGUUGUCAAUAAAAAAAAAGGUUUUUAGAGACUUAAAGAAUGAUGAAACAGACAGAAGCUGCAGACCCAGUUAAAUUUCCCAGGCUAGCGAUGUUUCCUCAGAAGGGUUGGAGGUCCUUCAAUCAGGGUGCUCAACAGUCAGAAGAGGAGAACAUGCCUAUAUGUCUGUAUACUUACACUGACCUGACCUGAUUUCUAUGCGUGCACACACACACACACACACACACAGAAUCAGCGUAUUGUUCUGGGAGGAAAAGUCUUUCUUGAAAUGUGGGAAUAGUGUGACCUUCAGAGGAACACACUCCUCUUGUUGAGUGUUUCCUCCACAGGCUCUCCUGUCUGUUGGGGCUGCAGCCCCCACAAGCAC